AAAGGGAAGAAGACAUCUAUAACUGUAGUUCAUGCUCCUCGCCAAGGCCUCCUCAGUACCAACAAAAAAUCAAAAGAGCAGAUAUGAACUAGAAGCCAUAGAGAUAGAUCCACAGCAAGAUGUGAUGCACCCGAGGCUAGGCUUCACAGGAGGAGCCUCUUCGAAGACAAAGCACAUCUCCAGGAUUGCAUACUUACCCAGGAAAAGGCCAGAGAAGUGAAGAAAAAUAAUGAAAGAAAAACUUAAUUUUCUUUUCCCACAUGCCCAAUAUGUUAUAAAUGUAAACAUGGG
rnacentral:lncRNA from 1 species